UCACUCUGGGCUUGUACAACUAAAAUGGCUCUUUUUUUAUGCAAAUGAAGUCUGUUCUGGAUACGUGCACCCUAAGCUUCAGCUGCCCUUUCCCUUGGAAAAUCUGGCUCGUCUCCCAUGGGUACUGACCCUGGCACUGUGGCUCGUGGUUGUGCAAUUCUCCUGUUGUACUAAGGAACUCUCUGUCAUACCAAGAGUGAUGCAUCUUCAGUGGUUUCAAGUUUGAAAUCGACAGUAUGAAAGCAAUUAAAAUACUCAUCCUGCUGAUAAUGCUUUUUAGCAGGGGAUCUCAGAUCACUCUAUCUUUAUCCUGCCUUGCUGUACAGUGCAGCUAUUUGAGGAACUGAAAUCACCAUUGCCCGCCCAUGCAUUUCAGCAAUCACACAGCAUCUUUUUUUAUUUUUUCUUUUUU